CCACUGCUAUCGGGAUAGGACUAAGACAUGCUAGUUGAGCGCUUCCAGCCAAAACGGGAGCGCAGCGCACAGCUCAGUAACACGUGGCUAAUCUGCCCUUGGGACCGGAACACCCCCGGGAAACUGGGGCUAAUUCUCGAUAGGUGAAGAACUCUGGAAUGAGUCUUUGCCAAAAAGACGUUUACGUUAUGCUCGUAGGCGUCGCCCAAGGAUGAGGCCGCGACCGAUCAGGUUGUUGGUGAGGUAAUGGCUCACCAAGCCUUUUACCGGUGCGGGCCGUGAGAGCGGGAGCCCGGAGAUGGGCACUGAGACAAGGGCCCAGGCCCUACGGGGCGCAGCAGUCGCGAAAACUUUGCAAUACACGAAAGUGUGACAGGGCUAUCCCGAGUGCCAUCCGCUGAGGAAGGCUUUUACCCAGUCUAGAACGCUGGGGGAAUAAGGAGAGGGCAAGUCUGGUGUCAGCCGCCGCGGUAAUACCAGCUCUCCGAGUGGUGUGGAUGUUUAUUGGGCCUAAAGCAUCCGUAGCUGGCUGAGUUAGUCCCUUGUUAAAUCCACCGAAUUAAUCGUUGGAUUGCGGGGGAUACUGCUCGGCUAGGGGACGAGAGAGGCAGACGGUAUUUCUGGGGUAGGGGUGAAAUCCUAUAAUCCCAGGAGGACCACCAGUGGCGAACGCUGUCUGCUAGAACGCGCCCGACGGUGAGGGAUGAAAGCUGGGGGAGCGAACCGGAUUAGAUACCCGGGUAGUCCCAGCUGUAAACGAUGCAGACUAGGUGUUUGGACGGG
rnacentral:rRNA from 1 species